UGGGGGAUAUUGCACAAUGGGCGAAAGCCUGAUGCAGCGACGCCGCGUGGGGGAUGAAGGCCUUCGGGUUGUAAACUUCUUUUGCUCUGAACAAGGCGCACCAUGGGGUGUGUUGAGUGUAGGGGUUGAUUAGCGCCGGCUAACUACGUGCCAGCAGCCGCGGUAAUACGUAGGGCGCGAGCGUUGCCCGGAAUUAUUGGGCGUAAAGGGCUUGUAGGUGGCUGGUUGCGUCUGUCGUGAAAGCUCAUGGCUUAACUGUGGGUUUGCGGUGGGUACGGGCUGGCUUGAGUGCAGUAGGGGAGGCUGGAAUUCCUGGUGUAGCGGUGGAAUGCGCAGAUAUCAGGAGGAAUACCGGUGGCGAAGGCGGGUCUCUGGGCUGUUACUGACACUGAGGAGCGAAAGCAUGGGGAGCGAACAGG
rnacentral:rRNA from 1 species